GAUGAGAUGUUACCGGUAUAAGGGCAACAAACUCAGGAAGAAUGAAUAUCUAAGACCGGUAUAAGGGUGAGAGAUAUCAAUCAAUCCAAACAUCUGAGAAAGACCUGAAAAGGUACAUAAACUCAGGAAAAUCUGACUCCACAGGGGACCAAGGUCAUAAUAGGGAGCAGAUAGGAAGGAACACCAGGGAUACCGAAGUAUAUAAU
rnacentral:lncRNA from 1 species